GAACCUUACCCAGGCUUGAACAGCGAGUGACCAUUCCCGAAAGGGAACUUCCGCAAGGACACUCGUAGAGGUGCUGCAUGGCUGUCGUCAGCUCGUGUCGUGAGAUGUUGGGUUAAGUCCCGCAACGAGCGCAACCCUUGUCUGCUGUUGCCAUCAGGUAAUGCUGGGCACUCUGCAGAGACUGCCGGUGAUAAACCGGAGGAAGGUGGGGAUGACGUAAAGUCAGCAUGGCCUUUAUGUCUGGGGCUACACACGUGCUACAAUGGCCGGUACAAACCGUCGCAAAACCGUAAGGUCGAGCUAAUCGGAGAAAGCCGGUCUCAGUUCGGAUAGCAGGCUGCAACUCGCCUGCAUGAAGUUGGAAUCGCUAGUAAUCGCGGAUCAGCACGCCGCGGUGAAUACGUUCCCGGGCCUUGUCACACCGA
rnacentral:rRNA from 1 species